rnacentral:rRNA from 1 species
UACGUAGGGUGCAAGCGUUGUUCGGAAUUACUGGGCGUAAAGGGCGCGUAGGCGGUACUUCAAGUCAGGCGUGAAAGCCCCGGGCUCAACCUGGGAACCGCGCUUGAGACUGGAGAACUAGAGUUCGGGAGAGGAUGGUGGAAUUCCCAGUGUAGAGGUGAAAUUCGUAGAUAUUCGGAAGAACACCAGUGGCGAAGGCGACUAACUGGACAUGUAUUGACGCUGAGGUGCGAAAGCGUGGGGAGCAAACAGG